AUUUUUUGUGAGGUUUAUUUUCUUUGAGAAACCAAUAUAUAAUGACUUUGUAGUCAUUAGGAGUUUCAUAGCUACACCUGCAGCUCAGCAGAAAGCCAGGUUAAAAGUCUGAUCAGACGCUGGCUCUACAUGCAAAAUCAUUGAGUGACUGCAGCAGCUCCUGUGAGAACACACAGGAACUCACUGGAACCAGCCCCUGCUGCC
rnacentral:lncRNA from 12 species